GGUCAAGCUAGAGCCACCAUUGGCACUUGUGAGGCACAGGAAGUGAGGUAGGGAACAGCCUCUGGAAUUCGCUCACUUCCUGUGGACAGGGCUAGAGGCAGUUCCUGCUAGGAGCUUGAGCAGAGAGGAGGCCCGAAGACAGCUUCUUUCAGAUUGGUCACGUGAGUCAAGGACUGAUUCCCUUCUUUACCUUGGCCUUCCAGGCCUAAAAACUCCCUCUGACUCUAUCAGAAGAACAUUUUGCUGUCUUUCUUGGCAGUCCUUAAUGUUGAGUGUUUGAAGGAAGAGAAAAAGGGAAAGCAAGAUGAGGGGUUAAAAGGAAUAUCUAAAAACUCUCUCCAAGUAAUUUGGAACUGAAGAAGUAAAUCUAUCAGAGAAGAGACCUAUCCCAGGACGUCCAAGAGAAGAUGUUUUUGAAAAUAUUCACAAUGAAUACCUGAAAUCUGCAAUGAAAUUUCUGAACUGGAGAUGGGCUACAUUAAUGCAAACAGACCUAAUAUUAAUUAAUAUCGAUAUUGAUUAUUGUAUUGCUUCGACUUUUUUGUAACACUGCAUUUUUCUUAAUGUUCUCAUGGAUAUUGUGUACUAAAAAUGGAUUGUGACCAAAAAUUAUGCUACCAAGUUUAUUCCUCUUCUUUGGCCAAUGGAGGGCAAAUAGCUGCAGGCCAAAACUGGGGGAAUUGUUAAGGAUUAAUGGGUUUUUCGUGGCUUUUGUGAUGCUUACAAUUACUUUGGAACUUCAAUAUUAAGCCUUGAAAGUCACUUUGCAGUAUUCUAACCUGAUAUAGUCAGUGCACUCAGAACAUUGCCCUUGCUUUCCUUUAUCUUAUCAAAGUUGUUUCCUGGAACAUUCCAAAAAAUUGAUGGUAUUUUUCUUGGGCUGGGAACAAGUUUCUCUAGGUGCCUAAUCAUAGGAACCCACCCCCCUUCUUUUUAUUGAAACACUGUAUAAGUCUGUACUCUCCUCCAGUCUCUUGUGGGUGGGGGGUUGGAUCUAUCUAACUCUCCCCAGCCCCAACUCCCACUUCCACUUAUGUAUUUUUCAAUUCUCUCAAUGGAAAUAAACAUCUUUGCUACAGCUAUUUCCUUGUUUGGUUUUAAGGUUGACAGGUAGCCCUAAAUGUCCCUCUGAGAAACAAAAAAGUUCAAAGUGGAUGUUAUUUUCUUAGCACCAAAGAGAAACCUUCAAAAUUCCUCUUCACCAGAUGACAUCAGACUUCUGCAGCAAACUGAUUUAAAGGGAAUUAAAUUUUCUUGUUAUACCUUCAUCUUUUUAUAAGAAGCUCUAAUUCUCUAGGAAGGAAUUUCAACUCUUUUCUUUAUGUAUAAUAUAUUUUCCCCUCAUUAAUCUUUUAAAACUUCCCCACAUAAGCCAUAUUUAUGUGUAUAUGUGUGUUUAUCAAAUAAAAUAAUUUCAUAGAAAAAAGAGAAGAAAACCUCUGGCAAAUAAGAAAAAGUGAUCAUGGGGAUGGACACGAGUUCAAAUUAGAAAAAUCAAGGACACAAAUUUUUUUUUUCCUUUGAACAAUUCAAAGAACUUAACAUUGUCACCUGCCAUAGGAGUGAACAUCAAGAGAGAUUCUUGAAUAUGUUAAACACCUCUCUCCCACAGUGGAUUUCUUGAUUGUCAUUGCAAAGAUAAAGUGCCUAAACUAAUUUCUAAAUGGCUAAAGUACUCCAGCCUCAUCAUACUUUCUCAGUGAUAAUGAAGUCUGGAUGUCAUAAAAGGAAGGACAAAAAUCUUAGUUGUGAUGUUUAAAAGUAGAAAUAACAGAGGAUCCAUUAUCAGAUUUAUUUUUUUCUUUUUUAAAAGGACACAAAGGAUAAGGAUGAAAAUGGAACUUAAUGAAAUAAGAUAAUUGAUGAUCUAGGAUAAAAACAAACAAACAAACAAAAAACAUGUAUUAAAACUCCCAACCACUCCCAACCUCUCUUACCCCACCUACACAGCUGAAUCACAAUGAGAGGCUUCAUAAAAGGGGAGAUAAGAUAUAGAAGAGAGAAAUGUUUGAUGAAAUCUAACCAUUUCAGUGGUUUAAAAUAAAAACCAACACUAACAAAGGGGAAAUAACUAUUGUAAUAUAGAAUCAAGAAGUGGAACUAUAGAAGAACAGAUAAAGUUUAAAUUCAAGGAAGAAGUCUCACUGAAGAAUAAUUCUCAACCUACUUAUUUCCUGUGAUCCAUUUCUCCAACCCAACUUCCCUAUACACAGAUACAAUCUUACCCUUUAUCAUAUCAUUUCCUCACAAACUUUUCAAUUUCAUUUUUAUAAACUGAAAUUCUUUUAUAUGA